AUUGAACGCUGGCGGCAGGCCUAACACAUGCAAGUCGAACGGUAACAGGAAACAGCUUGCUGUUUCGCUGACGAGUGGCGGCCGGGUGAGUAAUGUCUGGGAAACUGCCUGAUGGAGGGGGAUAACUACUGGAAACGGUAGCUAAUACCGCAUAACGUCGCAAGACUAAAGAGGGGGACCUUCGGGCCUCUUGCCAUCGGAUGUGCCCAGAUGGGAUUAGCUAGUAGGUGGGGUAACGGCUCACCUAGGCGACGAUCCCUAGCUGGUCUGAGAGGAUGACCGGCCACACUGGAACUGAGACACGGUCCAGACUCCUACGGGAGGCAGCAGUGGGGAAUAUUGCACAAUGGGCGCAAGCCUGAUGCAGCCAUGCCGCGUGUAUGAAGAAGGCCUUCGGGUUGUAAAGUACUUUCAGCGGGGAGGAAGGGAGUAAAGUUAAUACCUUUACUCAUUGACGUUACCCGCAGAAGAAGCACCGGCUAACUCCGUG
rnacentral:rRNA from 1 species